rnacentral:rRNA from 1 species
UUCCCUACGGGACGCAGCAGUGGGGGAUAUUGCACAAUGGGGGGAACCCUGAUGCAGCGACGCCGCGUUGGUGAAGAAGCGUUUCGGCGCGUAAAGCCCUGUCAGCAGGGAAGAAGAAGGACGGUACCUGACCAAGAAGCCCCGGCUAACUACGUGCCAGCAGCCGCGGUAAUACUUAGGGGGCAAGCGUUAUCCGGAUUUACUGGGUGUAAAGGGGGCGCAGACGGCGAUGCAAGCCAGGAGUGAAAGCCCGGGGCGCAACCCCGGAACCGUGCUUGGACC